rnacentral:lncRNA from 1 species
UAAAUAGGACAUAUUUUUAUUAAUCUGAAAUAAUAAAAACCUAUGGGCAUACGGGUAGGGGUACACGCUUGGCUUGAUACUUCAGGAGCCUUCCAGUGCACACGUGAAUCACACACAAGGAGGAAAACAAGACGGGGGCUAACCAGCCAUAACAAAAACACAUCCUUUGCAGUUUGUUAUCUCUCAGGUUUGGCCUGUACGCUUGCUUUAAACCACAAUCAUUACAUGUUCCAUGGAAAGUUGUCUUUUAGGCUAAGAAAUGUUUGAGAGCUGUUUACAAAGCCUUAAAGAGGAAAAAAUGCUUCACUUCCAAAUCACUGUCUCUCUGGAAUGUGUGUGUAGCACACUCUGUGUGCGGUCUGAGUUCAGACUGGUGUUCUUGGUUCCGUGCACUUGCACUGUGGAGGUCUGCCACAUCUGUGUUGUUAGUAAGCUGAGGAAGCAUGGAAUCCUGGGCUGGGCUGGUAAAACGCCUUCUUCCAUGGGGCUGGUGGGCUAUUAUCAGUCCAGGAUGUGAAGAACUAGAUGGUGUGAAUAUUUGAGUCCACCUCUUCAGGGCCAGGCUGAGUGGGGGCUAGGGCUGUGCAUGAGACAGGCCGUGGAGAACACACCUGACUGGAGAAAGAACGACGGGUGUGCUGUCCUGGAAGGUGUGGAGGCUAGGCUGAUUUGGAUGCUGAUGGGGGCUCAUUAGGGUCGGGUGAUAGGCUCAGAGCUGGCCAUGUAUCCCACACUCCCUUGCUGCAUCUGUUGCCACUUCUGUAUCACUUACUUUUAUCUCUGCAUUUCUCAGAACUUCAUUAACAUGGUGCUAUGACUCAUACUCAUUUACUGCGUGUGGGGGCUCACCACUGGAAAGCCUACUAUUUUAAACAACGGAGAAAGGAUAGGAUCACCUCCACGACGGAUAUUUGAGAAUAUUUGGGUCACCUUAACCAUUUUUAAUGUAAAAGAAUAAACAAAACAAAACAAAACAAAAACCAAAACGACUCACAGACGAGGGAAUGAACAUUGUAACUUUUAAAAAACUGUCUGCCAGAAGGUUGGAGAAACAUAAGAUGCCACCUUGAAGAAAGUACCCUUAGGGGUACAAUCCAGUGAGGUGCUGGACUCCUGGGAAAAGUUAAAAUUGUUACCGACAAAUGCGUCCUUACCUACAAAGCUAAGAGACUGUCAAACCGCCAGGAUACAAAGGUCGAAUAAUGAAACCAGGACGACCAGCCAACAAACCCCACACUGUGGUAAAGCGUAGCAUAAAAUUGCCAGAGCCAAACCUAAAAGAAAUACUCCGAAACCUGAAGAAAAAUCACUUCCCUUUAAGAGUAAAGGAAGACGGAAGUGGGCGUCCAACCUGGGGGAUUAACCCGCGAAGACAUGUAGUCUCACGUCUUGGGAACGUGCGCCAUCCUGUCACAGUCGAUCACAAAUUUUCCUCCUAAGGCAUGGAUGCUCACCACGCGUGGAAAAGUUCUCUCCAUGCGUGAAAGGGGCCAGCCUAACCGGAAGCGGCCUCGCCCCCGGACACGGC